UUGCGUCGACAUCACGAUGAAACUCCGAUUCACGUACGAUCACCAACGUUAAGCAACGUUGAGCCUGGUCAGUACCAAUAUAGGUGACUGCUUGGGAAUACCACUUGCUA